UGAGCAAUCUGCCCUUCUCUUCGGAAUAAGCGUUGGAAACGACGUCUAAUGCCGAAUACGACCUCCUUUCGCAUGAUCGGAGGUGGAAAGCUCCGGCGGAGAAGGAUGAGCUCGCGGCCUAUCAGCUAGUUGGUGUGGGUAAUGGCCCACCAAGGCGACGACGGGUAGCCGGCCUGAGAGGGUGACCGGCCACACGUGGGACUGAGACACGGCCCAGACCUCCGUACGGGAGNAG
rnacentral:rRNA from 1 species